UACGAAGGGGGCUAGCGUUGUUCGGAAUCAUUGGGCGUAAAGCGCGUGUAGGCGGUGUGUCGCGUCGGCCGUGAAAACCUGCAGCUUAACUGUGGGCGUGCGGUCGAUACGGGCAUCACUGGAGUUCGGCAGGGGAGACUGGAAUUCCUGGUGUAGCGGUGAAAUGCGCAGAUAUCAGGAGGAACACCGGUGGCGAAGGCGGGUCUCUGGGCCGAUACUGACGCUGAGGCGCGACAGCGUGGGGAGCAAACAGG
rnacentral:rRNA from 1 species